CCUACGGGUGGCAGCAGUGGGGAAUAUGGACAAUGGGGGCAACCCUGAUCCAGCCAUGCCGCGUGUGUGAAGAAGGCCCUCGGGUUGUAAAGCACUUUCAGUGAGGAAGAACGCCUGGUGGUUAAUACCCAUCAGGAAAGACAUCACUCACAGAAGAAGCACCGGCUAACUCCGUGCCAGCAGCCGCGGUAAUACGGAGGGUGCGAGCGUUAAUCGGAAUUACUGGGCGUAAAGCGCGCGUAGGUGGCUUGAUAAGCCGGUUGUGAAAGCCCCGGGCUCAACCUGGGAACGGCAUCCGGAACUGUCAAGCUAGAGUGCAGGAGAGGAAGGUAGAAUUCCCGGUGUAGCGGUGAAAUGCGUAGAGAUCGGGAGGAAUACCAGUGGCGAAGGCGGCCUUCUGGACUGACACUGACACUGAGGUGCGAAAGCGUGGGUAGCAAACAGGAUUAGAUACCCGUGUAGUC
rnacentral:rRNA from 1 species